AAGACUAUACUUUCAGGGAUCAUUUCUAUAGUAUGUAACUAGAGAAGUUUCUCUGAUUGUGUAGCCACCCAAAGCCAAGAGGAAGAGCCAGAGCAUCCUCUCCUGAGCGUGAAGCCAGCUCUAGGUGUCGCUUCUGCAACUGCCUUUAGCCAUUGAUGAUCGUUCUUCCCUUCCUUUGGAAGGGUUCGAGGGAGAGGAUGCAGUCUGAGUGGU